GAUGAAGAAGCAGUGAAAUGCGAUAAGUAGUGUGAAUUGCAGAAUUCAGUGAAUCAUCGAAUCUUUGAACGCACAUUGCGCCCUUUGGUAUUCCUUAGGGCAUGCCUGUUCGAGCGUCAUUUAAACCUUCAAGCUAAGCUUGGUGUUGGGUGACUGUCCGCUUCACGGCGGACUCGCCUCAAAAUUAUUGGCGGCCGGUACAUUGGCUUCGAGCGCAGCAGAAACGCGAACUCGGGCCCGUCGUAUUGGCUCCCAGAAGCUAUCUUCACAAUUUUGACCUCGGAUCAGGUAGGGAUACCCGCUGAACUUAAGCAUAUCAAUAAGCGGAGGA
rnacentral:misc_RNA from 1 species